rnacentral:rRNA from 1 species
GAUGAACGCUGGCGGCGUGCUUAACACAUGCAAGUCGAACGGUGAACACGGAGCUUGCUCUGUGGGAUCAGCGGCGAACGGGUGAGUAACACGUGAGCAACCUGCCCCUGACUCUGGGAUAAGCGCUGGAAACGGCGUCUAAUACUGGAUACGAGUAGCGGCCGCAGGGUCAGUUACUGGAUAGAUUUUUUGGUUGGGGAUGGGCGCGCGGCCUAUCAGCUUGUUGGUGCGGUAAUGGCUCACCAAGGCGUCGCCGGGUAGCCGGCCUGAGAGGGUGACCGGCCACACUGGGACUGAGACACGGCCCAGACUCCUACGGGAGGCAGCAGUGGGGAAUAUUGCACAAUGGGCGAAAGCCUGAUGCAGCAACGCCGCGUGAGGGAUGACGGCCUUCGGGUUGUAAACCUCUUUUAGCAGGGAAGAAGCGAAAGUGACGGUACCUGCAGAAAAAGCGCCGGCUAACUACGUGCCAGCCGCCGCGGUAA